rnacentral:rRNA from 1 species
GACGAACGCUGGCGGCGGGCUUAACACAUGCAAGUCGAACGGAAAGGCCCUGCUUUUGUGGGGUGCUCGAGUGGCGAACGGGUGAGUAACACGUGAGUAACCUGCCCUUGACUUUGGGAUAACUUCAGGAAACUGGGGCUAAUACCGGAUAGGAGCUCCGGCUGCAUGGUGGGGGUUGGAAAGUUUCGGCGGGUGGGGAUGGACUCGCGGCUUAUCAGCUUGUUGGUGGGGUAGUGGCUUACCAAGGCUUUGAAGGGUAGCCGGCCUGAGAGGGUGACCGGCCACAUUGGGACUGAGAUACGGCCCAGACUCCUACGGGAGGCAGCAGUGGGGAAUAUUGCACAAUGGGCGGAAGCCUGAUGCAGCAACGCCGCGUGCGGGAUGACGGCCUUCGGGUUGUAAACCGCUUUCGCCUGUGACGAAGCGUGAGUGACGGUAAUGGGUAAAGAAGCACCGGCUAACUACGUG